AAAAUCCUCACCUGAGGGUAUUUUUUCCAUUGCUUUUUAGAGUAGAAGGGCGAGAGGAUGGGGGAGAGAGAGAAACAUCCACUGGUUUCCUGGCACACUGGCCCCGAACAGGGCUGGGGAUCAAACCUAUAACCCUUCGGUUCCCAGGCUGACCGUUGUGGUUCUAACCCAUGAGACACUGGCCAGGGUAAUCAUCAUAACAGCUUUCAAAGAUCAGACCAGCUUUCCCCCUAAAGAGGCCAUGCCCUCAGGAACUGGGGCAAACGGGGCCCCCUGGGUGCUGGAUCGGGGGCCUCAGCCCUGGGGGUCUGGGCAGUCUCGGGGUCAGGGGGCCCACGGGCCCCUCUGAGGCCUG